UUUCAGAAUCUCGCGGGCAAAAUUCCCUCCCUCCCACACCCUCCCAACCUUCCUUUUUUCAGGAUACAAUUCCCUCCCCCCAACUCACAAAAUCUUUCAGGCCCAAAUUUCCUCUCUUCAUCACCUUCUCUACCGAGAGAAAGUCCGCACAAUCAGAACAACAAAGGUGAUUGUUGUAGAAAGUCACUCCAAUGGAUCAAAGGAUAAUCUAAAGCAACGGAUUGAUCAUCCAAGAUUUGAGCUAAUUCGUGAAGUUUUACUGAUACAGAUGCUAAUGGAAUUCAUGUCUAUGAAAUUUGAUUAAGUCCCUUAACAAAUUAGACAUCGAAAUCCAGGUAUCUCGGGCCACGGUAGCGGUUGCUGAUCAUUUCAGUUGUGAACUUUCCUUGGAGAUAGCGAGAUCUAGGUAUCUUUGGCCACGGUAGCAGUUGCUGAUCAUUUCAGUUGUGAACUUUCCUUGGAGAUAGCAAGCUUAGUGAUGUGGAGAGCUGAGUCUACUUCCCCUCAUGGAUGUAAGAGUAGCAUCAAGCGAUGACAAUGCAAAAUCACCAAGGAAGUACAUUGCACUUUGUAUAUUUAUUUAUUAAGAUGAGGAUCUACUCUUUAUUGUAUUAUGUUUAAGUUAUCAUACAUUUAUUUGUAUAAGUUUUAGUUUGAUAUGAAUUUAAAAUUGUGAUGUUUGUUAGCAUUGAUAUUUUUAAUGGAAUUUGAUUUGU